rnacentral:rRNA from 1 species
UCAGCAGCCGCGGUAAUUCCAGCUCCAAUAGCGUAUAUUAAAGUUGUUGAGGUUAAAAAGCUCGUAGUUGAACCUUGGGCCUAGCCGGCCGGUCCGCCUCACCGCGUGCACUGGCUCGGCUGGGCCUUUCCUUCUGGAGAACCGCAUGCCCUAAAAAAGAGUGUGCCGGGGAACCAGGACUUUUACUCUGAACAAAUUAGAUCGCUUAAAGAAGGCCUAUGCUCGAAUACAUUAGCAUGGAAUAAUAGAAUAGGACGUGUGGUUCUAUUUUGUUGGUUUCUAGGACCGCCGUAAUGAUUAAUAGGGACAGUCGGGGGCAUCAGUAUUCAAUUGUCAGAGGUGAAAUUCUUGGAUUUAUUGAAGACUAACUACUGCGAAAGCAUUUGCCAAGGAUGUUUUCAUUAAUCAGGAACGAAAGUUAGGGGAUCGAAGACGAUCAGAUACCGUCGUAGUCUUAACCAUAAACUAUGCCGAUUAGGCGAUCGGACGGCGUUAUUUUUUGACCCGUUCGGCACCUCUACGACAAAUCAAAAUGUUUGGGCUCCUGGGGGAGUAUGGUCGCAAGGCCUGAAACUUAAAGAAAUUGACGGAAGGGCACCACCAGGGGUGGAGCCUGCGGCUUAAUUUGACUCAACACGGG